rnacentral:rRNA from 1 species
UACGUAGGGUGCAAGCGUUUAUCCGGAAUUAUUGGGCGUAAAGAGCUCGUAGGCGGUUUGUCGCGUCUGCUGUGAAAACUGGAGGCUCAACCUCCAGCCUGCAGUGGGUACGGGCAAACUAGAGUGCGGUAGGGGGAGAUUGGAAUUCCUGGUGUAGCGGUGGAAUGCGCAGAUAUCAGGAGGAACACCGAUGGCGAAGGCAGAUCUCUGGGCCGUAACUGACGCUGAGGAGCGAAAGCAUGGGGAGCGAACAGG